AUGGCUUGGUUGAUUUAUUUGAGCAGACAGACAGAAUACAUGGAUGGAUCCAUUAUGGGCGUGGGUAGCAACAAGGUUAAGUAUGGUGGAUUGUACAACAUCCAGGGGUGGGGCGCACCCUACUUCACAGUGAACACGGAAGGCAACCUGUGUGUGAAGGCGGAUGGGCACGAGACCAAGGCAGGGCAGGAGAUGGACGUGCUGCACGUCAUUCAAGCUGCAAAGCAGAAGAGGAAGGACAUCCAGUUUCCGAUGAUCCUCCGGUUCCCCAACGUGCUCAAGCACCGCCUCGACGCUCUCCACGCCGCAUUCCACACGGCCAUCAGCCGCACCGGGUACACCAAUACAUACCAGGGCGUGUUCCCGGUGAAGGUGAACCAAAACAGGGCCAUCGUCCACGACUUGGUUUGCUUCGGCCAUGCUUACAGCUACGGGCUGGAGGCAGGCUCCAAGCCGGAGUUGCUCAUCGCAAUGAGCUGCCUCACAAAGGAGGCUAAUUCCAGAGCCUUCCUGGUUUGCAAUGGGUACAAGGACGCCGAGUACGUGAGGCUGGCGCUGUCGGCGCGUGCCAUAGGCCUGAAUGCUAUCAUGGUGCUGGACAUGGAGGAGGAGCUGGACAUCAUCAUCCACCAGAGCAGCAAGCUCGGGGUGGAGCCGGUCAUCGGCGUGCGCGCCAAGCUGCUCACCAAGAUACCAGGCCACUACGGGUCCACGGCCGGCAAGCACGGCAAGUUCGGCCUGCCUGCGGACAGGAUCUACGAGGUGGCCAAGAAGCUCAAGGGUCUCAACAAGCUGCACUGGCUCAAGCUGCUGCACUUCCACGUGGGCUCCAUGAUCCCGACCACGGAGCUAGUGGCCAAAGCGGCCACGGAGGCCGCCGACAUCUACUGCACCCUGGUGAACAAGUAUGACGCGGCGGAGAUGACCACUCUAGACUGCGGCGGGGGGCUCGGCAUCGACUACGACGGCACCCGGUCAGCCGACUCCGACAUUUCCGUGGCGUACGGGCUGGAGGAGUACGCGUCCAGCAUUGUGCAGGCAGUGCGGACCACGUGCGACAAGGCCAUGGUCUCGCACCCUGUGCUGUGCACCGAGAGCGGCCAGGCCAUGGUGUCGCACCACUCCAUGAUCAUCCUCGAAUCGCUCUCAGCGAUCCCCGAGCCCAAGGACGACGAUGACGAGGACACCCCGGAGCAGCUGCGCACCAAGAUCCAGCAUCACUACUCUGCUUCCAAUUUGCCGACGUCGGCAGCAGUCAUGGACCUCCAGAAGCACGGGAUCGAGGCGUACAAGCUGGCCAAGAAGCUCUCCAAAAGGAUCGCCGGGGAUGCCAACACCAUCUACAACUACCACAUGAACCUCUCCGUCUUCUCGCUGCUUCCUGACAUGUGGGGCAUCAAAUGGCGCUUCCCGAUGAUGCCUGUGAGCCGGCUCAAUGAGGAGCCUACCCGAAUGAGCACACUCAUCGACCUAACCUGCGACAGCGACGGCAAGAUCGACAAGUUCAUAGGAAACGCCGAGACGCUCCCGCUUCACCCACUGCCGCUAGACCCUGACCCUGAGCGCGGUGGCUGCUACUACCUCGCCGUGCUGCUUUCCGGCGCAUACCAGGAAGCCCUUUCUAACAAGCACAACCUGUUCGGCGGCCCGAGCAUAGUGCGGGUCGAGAAAAGCACCGCCACUGCCACCGGCUUCCAAAUCGCCACAGCCGACCUGGGCCCGACGACGGAGGAGCUCAUCAGCACCAUGAGGUACAAUGUCAGGCAGGACAUCGUGGGCGUCAUCCAGAGGCGGGCCAUAGAGAUAGGGGUGUGGGGAAUGGUGGGGGAGGUAGUGCACACUGGGCUUACCACCAUGCCGUACCUCAUCGUGGAAGAUCAUGCCGCCUCUUCAUGGAAGCACCAAGGAGGACUAGAUGGAAAAGACGAGUCGAUCGUCAAGAUGGUGUUUCGGCAAGUUUCCCGUCUCCUCUGCUUGCCCUUCACGUGGUCCAUCCCAUCAAAACGAAUCGGAUCAGCAGCCUGA
rnacentral:rRNA from 1 species